GAUGAAGAACGCAGCGAAAUGCGAUACUUGGUGUGAAUUGCAGAAUCCCGUGAACCAUCGAGUCUUUGAACGCAAGUUGCGCCCGAAGCCAUCAGGUUGAGGGCACGUCUGCCUGGGCGUCACAUAUCGUUGCCCAAUGCCUAUUGCAGUGCAAUAGGAAUUUCUAGGGCGAAUGAUGGCUUCCCGUGAGCGUUGUUGCCUCGCGGUUGGUUGAAAAUCGAGUCCUUGGUAGGGUGUGCCAUGGUAGAUGGUGGUCGAGUUAGAACGAUACCGAUCAUGUGCAUGCUCCCCAAAAUAUGGCCUCUAUGACCCACACGCGUCUUUUGACGCUCAUGACGAGACCUCAGGUCAGGCGGGGCUACCCGCUGAAUUUAAGCAUAUCAAUAAGCGGAGGAA
rnacentral:misc_RNA from 1 species